UGCAAUCCAAGCGUAAAGAAGGAAGCACACAUUUCAAAUUCUUGACAAACUAUGCAACUGUCAUGCAGAAUAGUGGAAGCCUUAUAUCUUUACAUGCAUCUGCGACCAAGACUUGAACCUUACAGUAUCUAUCAACACCUCAAACUCAAAAGAGGGUUAUUCUUCAUGUAUUUAUAAGUUUCUUCUACACUCAAUAAGUGUUGUGACAUUCCUCCCUUCCGUUUAUUGUUCUUGCAUUCUUUCAUUCCAUCUUUGUAUCCCCGUCGUAAGUAUUUUCCUCUCUCCUUAUAUUUGUUAGUUUUUG
rnacentral:lncRNA from 1 species